UCUGUCUGUCUAUCUCUCUCUCUCUGUCUUUCUGUAUGUGUCUCUCUGUGUGUCUUUGAACCCUGCCCUCCCCCCAAGUGGCUUCCACCCCAUAUACACUUGUUCUCUGCUGGCUCAAGCUUUUUUUAGGUGAACUUUUAGGAAAGGCCCUGAGUUGCUUUGUAUUGUCUGAGAUGUUUUAGUACAGGGGGAAAUGCUAGCUUUUGCUUUUUUUCAGGUCCUUCUAUUAUAUGAGGCAAAAUAAAAUAAAAUAAUAAAAUAAUAAGAGUUAAAGAGGGCCAAGAAAAGAGGUAGUGGUGUCCAUAAUGCAAGAAACUGCAGAAGAGAAGAAGGUUUUGUUCGAAAGGAUUCCAUUUGGGGGAAGUAGGAACCGGACGUGUUGAAGAUUAAAAUUGGGGGGAGGCAAAACAAUUGAUUGGGCCUUUGAAAUCUUGCCAAGGACCAAGAACCAGGACUAGUCACAGAGGGGCUGGCCAGGUAGGACAAUUAAAAUGGAAAUCUGGCUCCCGGCAGCGUAGUGUGGAGCAGGGCUACACAGUCUGCUGAAGGGGGAGGUGGGGCCAAGUCUGGCACAGUCUGUGGGUUUGAAAGAAGCUGGGCGGGUUGGAGGACUCCAGUUAGCCUUUGUAGUUCUGAGCUCAGAGAGGGGGUGACAAACACUAGGCUCCGGGUCACAAGACUGGCUUGGAUGGCUUUUGGAAAAAUUUCCUCUCAGCUCUCAAACACUGCAAAUAUAUUUACCCCAAUGUUACCUUCCAAUCACAGCCUCAGCAUGUGUCCUGGACAGAAGAGGAGAUUUCAACAGUUGUACCUGUUGGCUGAAGGAUGAGGUCGACUCUCUUCCCAGUGCUCUAGAAGUACCAGCUGGAUGGAAUACAAUAUCUUUGCAUGUUUUUCUUACACUUCCCAUAUGCUUGCGCCUCCCAGAUCUCUAGGGUUAAUUCCUCAGGACAGCCUUGCUUUGAAAGAAGAAAGUGUGGUGAACCAGCUUGAAGAUGGGGACUCCAGAGGCAUCUAUCUGUCCUGCCUCUGCUAGACCCAGACUACAGGUGAUGCGUAUUCACAGAGAAAGUAGUAAGUUUUCACUGUUGCCAUUUUGUUUGUUAUUUUCAAGGCUUAGUUGAUUUCUAGGCUCAGGGUCCUCAAAGCAUGUGUGGACUCCCUCUCUGUCUCUCCGUCUCUGUCUUUCCUCCCUUUUCCUCUCCUCUUCUUUCUCCCUCCUUUUCCCUUCCAAGUAAAAAUAAAUAGUACUCUUCCCAUCCCAGGAAUGAUUUAUAAAAGCAACAAACUGCUUCUUCCUCGUGGUUUCAGUCCUGGAUUGAAGAUCUCUGAGGUUAGCCUCUACGUGCCUAUCCUCAAUUAUCUCAAAACCACAUCUGCCAUCAGCUUAUACAAUCUAUACAGAAGUUCUUCUCCAUAAUAAAUACUAUAUAACUGAUGUCAUCAUGCUAAACUUAUCCCAGUACUUGCACAGAUGUCUUCUUUGAGGGAUCUCUGUACAUAUUUUCAGUCCCUCAAAGGGAUAGGAGACUUUAGAAGGAGGGUGUGGCUCAGCUGAUUCAGCUCCCUUCAGGCUCAUCUCUGACUCUUUCCUGUGGCUCCUCCCUCUCCCCACCUCCUGGAUCCUCAGACCUAACCUGAGCCGGCUGUCAAUUCAAUACUAUUUCUCGUUUCCAGCCUGGUUAGAUUGCUGGGCAAGCGAGCACUUCUCAUGAUCACGCUCAUUAUGUCUGUGGUCUCUGCAUUACCAUCAGACCAAGACACAGGCUGAACAAUAGCUUCUACUCCCACAACUUCUGUCAGCAAGAAAUAAUGUAGCCAAAGUACAAUUGUGAUACCAAUAUUGUAUUUAGAAGUUCUCUAGCUCAUUUCAUCUUCCAAGAGUCUUACAGAUGUUAACUAAUUAAUCUUCACCACACUUCGUACAUUAGAGGUAAAUAUUCUUAACCAUGACGGAAGACAUGUAUGUAUAUGCUGAGGACAGUAAAACAGUUACUUAUUUAUCAUGGUUCACUUGAUAGAGUAACUGGUAUUUUAAAAACACCCAUCAUAGAUACAAUAAUUAGAGAUAGGCUUUUGCUAACAAAGCCACUACCCACUUCUAGCGUACCCUUGGGUACUAAAUAAUUACCCACUUUGUGUGGUUAUCUAGCUCACUAAUUACCCACAGAAAUUGGGGUCAGGUGUUAACUGCUUGAAAUAAGUAUCCUCUGAAGACAUCGCUGAGUUGUAUGGAGAAAAUGAUGCGUUCCUCAGCCCAACUUUCACAAGUCACAUAUUUGUAUAUCUUUGUAAGCAGAGUGAACACAGACCAGGACAAAUUAGCUUAGUAUGUGGAAGUCAGGCUACACUGUUACUGUGAAUCAGAGGGGUUUGGAGAAUUUCAUUCUCCUUCUAUCUUUCCUUUCCAGCUGGGUGCAGUUGCCUGCUCUUGGGCCUUCAUAUGCUGAGACAAUCAAGGACUCUCCUUAGGAGUGAGUCAUCUUGGCAUUACAGGGAGGCACCCAAUGAGUCAAAGAUUUUUUUUUUACAGCUCCACCCUUUUUGAUUAUUUAAGCCUCUUGUCUCUGUCUCUCUGUCUCUCUGUCUCUCUGUGUGUGUCUGUCUCUCUUCUUCAUCAAUCUAGUGCAAACACUCGAUUAGUCAAAUCUGAAAAAGAUUCUGACCCAGUCACUAACUCCUCCUGGCAAUUGCCUUCCUCCUUCCCAGACAUGACAAUAAGGAAAACUCAGCCUUCUGUAACUUCUUCUCUUUUGCCUGAUUGUCCUCCUCUCUCCUCUUCUCCCUCCCCUUUCUUCUCUCUUUUCCCUUCCUCUGAUUCUUCAUCUCCUAUAUGUUCAUCCUUCUCCUUUCUUUGGCUUCAGCCGUGCUUCUGAAGUACCACCGUCAGAAACAAAGCAAAAUGAAUGUCUGUGAUGAGCACAAAGAAAACUACCUUUUAAAACACCCACUUGCAGGGAACCUGCAUUCUUGGCUGCCUUCUGCCCCUUUCUUGCUAUUUACAGAAGCCCGUAUUCUAUUUUAACACAGUACUGUCUGUUGUCUGCAGGAUUCUAGCCCCAUUGGGGGAACUGUGUUAAGACAGCCAUAAGACAGCCAUAUACCCACUGUGUUUAUAGAUAGGUAGAGACUCUGAUUUUGGGGGUGGUGCCUUCUGUGAGAAGACACUGUAUAGAAGGCAAGCAUUUAAAGAUGGGUGACAACGGAAACACUGCAUGCUGCUCCCUCCUUUUAGGGAUGGCUUCUUUUUUCUUGUGCCUCUCUCUCUUCUCUCUCUCUCUCUCUCUCUCUCUUUGUCAUCUGAAGUAUUGCUUAUCAUUAUUGAGGGACAUUAAACUGAUCGAUAAAGUAUGCAGGUAUCUGAUGGACAUGGGGGGAUACAGCUCCUUCAGGCAUCAAGAAAAUGCCUGCAUCGGAAGCCAAGGGUUUGGCUGAGCUGAGGAGACUGACGGAGGGGCUUUCCAAAUCCCAGGAACAUAAGUCGCAAAUUAGUGCACACUGCAACCAGGGGGAACCAGAAAAACCCAGCCAUCGAAAGGCAAGAGUUUUAGCAUUGUGGUCCUUAUGUGACUAAAUAGUAUCUAUGUAUCUUAAAUAUAUAAAAGAGCAAGGACGCACAUCCUUGCUCUUUUAUGCUCUCAUACACUGAUUUCAAAGAAGUGUUUGGGCGUUGUUGACUAUCUGUCCAUUAAAAAAAAAGAAAGAAAAAGAAAAAAAGAACAUUUCACAAGAAGCCUCACCUGCGUUCAUCCACGUACGUGUGUGGAUGCCGGACAAUUGGUCAAAGAACCAUACAGAUGUUUCACUUCUUCAUCAUCCCCACCUUGACCUUCCCCCUUAGAAAAUGGGCUACCUGAACUGUAGAUUUAGAGAAAGAAAUAUAUACGUAUAUAUACACAUAUAUAUGUGUGUGUGUGUAUAUACAUUACAAUGUCUAGUUUCCCCUGACCCGAUGGUAUAUUUUUGAUCUCAUUAGUAGUCAGGGAGACGUCUCCGUGCAUCCGGUGCUGCGAGUCCGGGAGGAGAUAUGCUACACACAGAGAGAGAAAGUGCGGGAGGAUAUUAGAAGAGGCUUGUCUUCAAGAUAUGGAAGGAAGUGAGAGAUGACAGCCUGCAAGCUCUGUAUGCCAGAGCCUGGCAGGGCGGGGGAGGUGCGAGGGAAGCCAAGUGGAUUCUCAGAAAAGGGGGGAAGCCAUCAAAGAGCUAAAGGUGAUUAGAGGGGGAUAUCGAUUCCUUACUCUGCCAGAGGUUUAAGCAGGCAUGUGAGGAAUCUGUACCGGGGUUGGCAGAAAGAGCCCCAUUGCCUCCUGUAACCAGACACUGGGGCUUUCCAGGAGCCCAGGGAGAGAGCCGAGAAGAAAGGGGGCAGUGUGGUCUAGGAAAAUUCAACUUGUCGCUGAUUUGUGCCUGAUGCUUGCUGUCCGUCAGCAGCCUCCCUUACAAGCUUUUUUCCUCUCCCUCUCCUUUUUUUCUCCCCUUGCCUUCUUCUUCAGUGAAGCCUAGGGGAGCCAGUAAAGAUUAAAUGUGCUUUCUCAAAGGCAGCCACUUCAUGCUGCUAUGUCGAAAGGGCUAUUAUUAAUAAUAAUAUGAGAGAGAGGGAGAGAGAGAGAGACUAGGUGUGAUGAUGAUGGUCUAGCUUUUUGGAGAGGAAAGGGGAGAGAAAAAAGGAGAGACGGCGAGCUGAACGGAGGACUGUGUGUGAGCAGAACCUACAGAGGUGAGAAAAAAAAAGAAGUUGUCUGGGUGUGUGUGUGUUGGGGGGGGUCUGUUCUAAAUAGACCCUUGUGGAGAAGGAGAAGAGGUCUAGCGGGCUGGCUGGCAUGGUUGUAGCUCUUCUGGUGGGGAGGAGGCGAGCCUGGAGCUCUUUACCGUUCCCGGUUGUAUAUGAAAGUAUAUUAAAAAUAGUUAGCUUUUUUUUUUUCUUUCUUUCUUUUUUAAACUCUGAGUCGGAGGACCCCCUCCAGUGUCUUCCUUACUGCCGGUGCUUUGUUAUUCUGUGUGCCCAGCGAGGCAUCUACUUCGCUCAGGCCUGGGAUAAAAGAAAGAAAGGAGGGGUGAGGGGAAAGAAAAAUUUUUAAAGGGGCAUCUUCCCAUUGGCUUCCCCUCCCUCCCUCUCGGUUCUUUUUUUUUUUUGGAGUCUGCACAGGAAAGCGCGGCUUCCAGGCAGAGGAGGUUCAAGAAAGCGCCUCUAUCAGGUACAGCGCUAGAAGCUGUCUGUGAAGAUGGAGGGGGAUUAUGCCUCGGAUGCCUCUGAAAUAUUGGCCAAAGGCUUCAAAGGAUCCGCAGCGGGAGGCGAGGGUGGGGGGAGCAUUUCCCCAGCUCUCACCCACCCUUCCCACUUUGCGUCUACCAAAUGACAGGCUGGAGCUCGCUCUGGGUGAUUUUGGCCUUGGCCUCAGCCAAGCAGCUGAUGCAGAGAAGGAGGGCCCGGUUUGCAAGAGUGACAGAACUCCGCAUGCUAGAGGGGGGAAAAAAGAAGGAAAAGAAAAAUAAUUUUCGUUUUUCAAGUAGUCCUUGGGAAAAUUUCUCGUUUUCUCUCGGUUUAUUUAUUUAUCAUUAAUUUUUUAACCGACUAUUUUCCAAAUUUGAUCAGCCCCAGCCCCUCCCUCUACUCCCACCCAACUGCCUCCCCCUACCCCCAGCCCCCCACCCCCGGUCAAAGCAUAAACCAGAGAGUUACGGUCUUCUCUCGAUUUUGGAGUAUCGCUUCCUGCCCCCGCCUUCCCUCCCCGCCCCAUUCUCUGUUCUAUUGAACACCUCGCCCAGCCUAGCGCACUGCGAACUCACAUUCCCCCCUGGCUCCGGAUGGCGCUCCUGGAGGCUCCGCAAGCCCGGCUCCGCUUCAAAUGGGGCUGUACGGAGACUGAAAUGGAACUAAAUUUUGUGAAGGGAAGAGGCUUAGAGAGAGCCAGGAUGUAGCCACACUGGACCACCUGUUUGCUGCAUUUUAGUCCCAAGUCUGCAACCGACACUGCCUGUCAUUUUUGUUUUGCUUUGUUUUGUCUCAAGAAAGAAAGAAAGAAAGAAAAUUGUGUUGCGCUCCCCUCAGUCCCUGAGACCCUAACUUGUGAUGUUUACCGUUUAAAUCCACGGGUUAGGCUCUUGGGAGCUGCGAGUCGUGCCUUUGCGUCGCUGAGAAACUUUUUGUCUUUUAAGAAAGAAAGAAAGAAAGAAAGAAAGAAAGAAAGAAAGAAAGAAAGAAAGAAAGAAAGAAAGAAAGAAAGAAAGAAAGAAAGAAAAGUUUGUCAGGAGUGGUGGGAGUACACCUCUGAGACUUCCAUUGUUAGACAGGAUCAGGUGACCGGAGUGAAGCAGCUCCUGGCUUCUGUAAAAGUAGGCAUAGACUGUUAGCAUCCUGUGUUGGCUGCUAUGGACGCCUGUGUAUAUGGCUGACACGAGGCUGGUGGGUCUAUUCCUUGAGAGCAACGGCGCAGUGCUAUUCCAGCGUAACAGCAACAGCUCAGUACCUGGUACUUGGCCUCAGCACAUCUCAGCUAAGUCCCAGCAUGCCCCAGGUCUCCAACUUUUAAGCUCAACAGUUAAUCUCAAAAUUGUGCCCAAUUAAAAUGGGCACGAGAAUGUAUUAUAGCUGCAUUGUCCACACGUGUGUCAUGCAUGGCUAGACAGAGGUUUCACUGACAUAGGUACGCACAAACCACUAGUUUGGAAUAAAUGAAGAGGUUAAAUAUUCAACUCUUGUAUUCAAUACAAAGGAAGGAAAUUAAGAGGUCAGGAAAGAGAAAAUAUGUGUUACUUUGCAAGAUUUCUAAAAAACAAAAUGGAAGGAGGGGGACUGGCUCCUUGGUUUUGUACCUCUUUAAAAAUGUUAUGCUUGACGAACUUGAAGGUGAUGAGGAUAGAAAUGUAUUUUCUAAAUAUUGUGGAAUGAAAGAAAUAACUGGGUGCAUUUGAUGCUGCUGCAUUCUUUGGGGUGGGGGAAAUCAAUGCCUAUGACUCUCCUUUAGAAACUGGACAGAUUUUUUUUUUUAUAUCAAGAUUUUAAUACAACCCAACAAAGUUAUUGGUAAUACCAAACCACAUUUCAAAAUGAUCCUCUCUUGAGCCAUUUGUUAGCGUUUCCUAGUUUGUAGAUUUCUGGGCUUGUAGCUUUCUAUCACAGGGUAACUCCAGUGUUUCAGGUCUGCCUCACACUGGGAAAAAGAGGACGCGGCUUACCUUUGUUUUUUUGCAGAAAAUUCGCCGUACGGUUUCCUUUAAACAGUUUUAGUCUUCUCAGCCCAACCUUUUUCUCCAUUUUUGGAAAAUACCUAAAUCAACCCAGACUCCAAAUGCUUUCAUGUUUGAAAGAUUUUGGAAUGGCUGUAGCCUCAUUGUACACACGGAGUGGAAGGUUAAGGAAACAGUUUGGGGUGUUUUUUUUUUUUUCCUAUUUUUAAGAACUUAUUGCAAUUUUACUCAUUUAUUCCAAAUUGCAGUCGAGAAAGCACCUCGCCUCAGAACACUGAAUUGGGAAGUAUGCAACAAUUGUGUGAUGCCUUUUGUUGAAACCUCUUGUACGGCUGUAAUUUAACUAUUACUUGGCAGCAUUUGGUAGAAUGUGCUUCAAAGCGUGCAGUUGUCUAAGAGAUUUUUCAUUAGUUUGUAUAAAAUAAUGAAUUAGUGAUUCCCCACCCCAUGUCAACCAAUGUGUAUGCAUAGCUAUGUGAAAAUUAUGGUGGUGCAUCAGCUUAACUUAUGGGCAAUAUAUUAUCACAUCAUACAUAUGAAAGAUAGGCGAACAUUUGGUGCUUUGGAAGGCAAACUAUGUAUGUAGCCAAUCUGGCAGAAAUGUAUGCAUGAUCAAUAAAGCCAUGAGAGUUGUAAUUUCUCUGUGAUUUCAAAUGAUAGAGGACCAUAAUUCAAGACCAACAUUUCCGUUUGUACUCUGAGGCGCUCCUGCUUUCCCCAUGCUUUCAAGCCUAUUGCUCCUGUUCUCAGCCUAAAGCCGGGUGCCCAGGCACUCAGCAGUGCGUGUGACACACAGGUUUUUUAUAUUUCAGCAGGCAACUGCUUCGCUGCAAGGGCAGGUUUCUCAACAUCCCCUCUUCCUCAUGGAGCCCAUCAGUGAAGUUCAGUGAAAUGAAUAACAUAAUUGGUGGUUGGUUCAAUCACUACCGGUCUAGACUAGCCCAGACGCAUCAAUUAGAGGGGACUGUCUUUUAAAGGGAGAGUGUAACCGAAACAAGCAGGCUAUUAUCGAUACCGAUCUUUAAAAGCACAAAUCCAGCCUGGCAGAUAAAAACAAAACAAAACAAAACAAAAAAAAAAAGCUGGGAGCUGCAGAGGGGGUGCACUGGAGGAAGAAAAGAGACCAAGGGAGCUGGAGCUCUGGAGCUGAGGGCCAAGAAGGACAGGAAGCGGGAGAGAAAGGGAGGGAUAAUAAGUGGAACACUGUCCUGGGCCUCCUUGGAGCGCAGUUACAGUUCAGCUCACAGGGCUUACAGCUCACCAUAUUUUUACCUAGCUUAUACACACACACACCACACACACACACACACACACACUUCUUCACUAACACUACCACCUCAUAAAAAAAGGUUCUUUUUCGUCUGUUCAAAACCAAUGCAGUUGAAAUUUAACAGCUUUAAGAUGCCCACUGAUGACAAGAGGAGCCAGCUGAACCCCCUUUUGCAGUAUCCCCCCCAAAGAAAAUAUAGAAAAUGCUUAAUUUUCAAAUCUCCAAUUCCUUUCUUUUUCUCUUCUUCUUCUCCUCCUCCCCUACCUCCUCCUAAAAGGAAGCAUGCUAGAGAACAGUACUCAUUUUAAAAUCUGGCACCUGGGACAAUUUUAUGAGGCAAAACACCUUUAUGCAAAAAGUUUAUAGUUUUCCAUUGAAUACAGUGAAAUUAAAAGAAUGUAACAAAGGCUUUGCUGUUUUGGUAGUUUUUUUGUGUGCGUGUGUGUGUUUUUCCCCCUGCGGUGGGGAGACAGAUGAUUUAGAAAGUGUUAAGAACAUAUCAAGCCCCAGGGAAAGAGAAAGGUUUGAUUGGUAUUAAUUAAAACACUGCUAAUAUAUUCUAAUAAAAUCAGAUUUAACAUUCUAAACUAAUCCGCCUAGCAUGUCAAAGGCAAAGGAAAGUAUUAUCUAUCUUAUUUGCAUCUGGGCAACUCGAAUGCAUUUGCUCAUUCGGCAGAAUUAAUUUCUAUCACCAGUCUAUUUAAUCUCCUCACAGAUUUAGUCAAACUUAUUCUUUCAACCUAAAAAGGACCAGGGAGGGGAAACCAUGAAAGGUAUUUGGAAGACCAGUGACUGUAUUUAAGGCCUGUUUUCUGGCUGACCAUAGUCUUUUCUCUUAAAUCGCUAUAAUGGGGUGUGGAGACAGCAGAGAUUGUAGAAUGAUAAAUGGCUCAGCCCCCCCCCCCCAUUCUCUCCUACCUGCUGGCUUAUUUAAAAAAUUCAGUUGCCAAAUUGUAAGAGUGGCAUUUAUUUAGUGCUGUCAGCCCAUUCAUGAACAUCUAAUUUUUGUUCUCUAAUUUCAGAACCUAUCUCAUCACAGAUUCCUAAUGGAAAAUAGAUAGAUAGAUAGGUAGAUAGAUGGAUAGAUAGAUAGAUAGAUAGAUAGAUAGAUAGAUAGAUAGAUGGAUGGAUAGAUGGAUAGGUAGGUAGGUAGGUAGAUAGAUCUCUUUAUACCAGAAACCCAUCUUCUUUUCUUAGCUUUUUGUUUUAAACUUCUGUCCUAAGGGCAAGUGAGGAAAGGAAUGUGAAAUUUUAUUCACCAAGAGCCGAGUUCUUUGUUCUAUUUUUAAGUCAAAUAUUUCCAUGGGAGAAUUCCAUAUUUUUAUGGAGCAUGGAGUUUCAGCUCUUUAUUAUUGCUGAGCUCUCUCAACUGAUAACACUCUCUUCAGAUGGUAUUAUGAUGCCAAAAUGUUUCGCCUGUCAUCAGUCUCCUGAAGCUAUGAUAGCCCGUGCAAAUAUGAACCUAGCACAAAAAAAAGAUGAAUGGACCGGAAAUGCUGAGGCCCAUAUGGGUGUGUUUCCACAAGGAGGGAGUCUGCAGGCAGUGGAGAGGUGGACUGACUGCAGUCUGGGAGGUGGCCGCAGACUGCUUUCUCCAUUGCCUUUUCAAGUCUUCAAGGUAAAAGGGCAAUCACAGUUUGGUUUCACUCGUAUUGUUCUAUAAUCCAGGCAAUAAAUGCUAAUUAGUAAUGUUCAAGGAUCCGACCAUUCAGAGUAAUUAUCAUAAUUUACUUCUUCCUCGUUAAAGACAUUCCUUGCUGAUUUAAAAAAAAAAAUCAGUUGUCCCUUCCCCAUUGCAUUGCACUGAGUAUUCACUAGAGAGAUGUUCAAGGUACACUCAGAGCCUGUGGCUGCACUUGAAGCCACUGACAUGUGCCUUGGCUUAUUCCGAGUGGAACUGCAGCUUAAUUUCUAAAACGGAAUUCAUGUAAAUGCAUCAAAUUCUGCACAUGCACCAGGAAUGUAUGAUUUUAUUUUACAAACCCCAAGGCUCCUCCUUCCAGGCCCACCCCCUUUUUCUAAAACCACUUCUGAACAGAACAAAGGAAAGUACUAACUAUAGAGGCAUCGUGAGAUGUGAGCAGUCAUUGCACUGUAAAGUCUGUGCUAUGACAACACAUUUCAUCGCACAAAAGUGCAGAUAAUUAAAUAAUUCAACAGCAACCCGACUAAUUACCAGGAAGAUAUUUAAGGAGGAAUCCAGAAAAUAGAUCCAAAUCAACCUGGAGGAUAUAUAUGCUUCAUUCUCUGAGACCUCAAAUAUAUUUUCGUUGUUUGGUGAUUGAUUCAUGCAGGGCUUGAGGACCAAAGCCAGUUCCUCAAAGCAGAGCUUGGAUCUUCUUUGGACACACAAACUGUAUGUCUCAGAUGAGCUGGAUUUAACAUAAGGUUUUAUGUUUGCAGUCAGAGAUGUAACACGUCACUCUGAUGCACAUUUUCUCUGUUCCAUAGAUCUAAGAAACGCCCAAGCCCUUAGCUUUUCAGUUGGCUUCCUCAAUGUGUACGUAGCCUCUCCCACAUUUUCUAAUGACGUAUGUUGAAGUCCCUUAUUGCUUGAAGCAAGUAAGUAUCAUGCGCACAGUGAUGGAAUAAGUAACUACAGUCAGUGCUAUCCAGUGUAAUAGCCCCUCCCCAUUUCCUUUGUCAAUGGUGUUAUUCUCUGCGUUCAUUGUUCAUUGGUCCUCUAUGUGGGAGCUCCAGUUUUAACUUGAGGGCUAUAAGCACAUUAGAAGAGUUAAUUCCCAUUGGAUACUGUACAGAGAAGCCACCUGCAAAAUGUUGAUGCUGUUAUUGAAGUCUCAAGUGGAAUCAGCUUUCAAAAAAUUAGAUAUUAGAUACAUCCGAUAUAAUUUGCAAUCUGUAAUUAUACUAAUGUGCGUAGAGCUGCACGUUGCUUUACGUGUAGCCUACUUGAGUUUGUCUCCCACCCCCACCCUUGGGAAUGUCUCAUCACUUGAAAUUGCUCCUGAGUAGAAUGCUUUUCAAGCCAGCUUAUUUUUUUUUAAUUCUGUGUUAAUUAAUACAAGAAUAAAAGGACUUUACAGCCUGUGUGCUUCUGCGAGAAUGAAAGUAGAAAACCUAGAUGUCGAAAACUAAUGAUCUCUUGAAGGGUUGUCACUGGAGAAACUUGAAUUCUUUGCAAAAUAUUUGCAAUUCUUUGUGGACUUGGUCUUCAUCCUGAUUAUGGAUAACUUUGGAGCUUGGAGAACAUGAGAAUAAUAAAUAUUACUCAUAAGGAAUCCAUUUCCUUUGUUAGAAUUAGAGAAACAGGCACUAGCCAGAGAUUGGUAGUUUUUAAUCUGAUAAAAGUAAUCAAGCCGUUAACAAUAACAAACAAUUCCUUUUCUGUUUUUCCCCUCCAUUUUGCAUGUCAUGUGAUGAGUAACUGAAACUCUUACGCACUAACUUCAGUUUCCUUUUGGGGCCUCAACAUGAUUCCAGAGAUCUACUGAUGGCUCCACUGGGGAGCCCCCUCGAGCAAGCUGCCCCCUGAAGAUCUACCUAUUAAGAAAAAAAAAAACAAAGCACCCAGGCAGAACACAGUGAGUUGGCUGGUCGGCCCGCUACUUGCCAUUUACUAUGUAUGCAGUGAGUGAUGAGACUGUCAAGACAAGCUUGGAGAAGGAUUACUGAGUAAGGCUAUGUGAGGGUCUCCUUUUUUGCCUCUUCAUUCAAAUUACAAAAAGGAUCGCAAGAGACCCUUACGUUGAGUAGUCAUUGCAAUUAGGUAGGUAUAGAACCAAAAAACCAAAGUGAUCUGUAAAGUUAUCCAUUCAUGACAAACAUGUGAAACCUGCCCAUUCUCCUACUGUCUACUGCUUAUUCAUGCCUCAAAAUUCCUUUUAAUAGUAUUUAUAGUAUAUAGAAGCUAUUUUUUUCCAAGGGAUGGAUUUAUAUAACAACAAAGCAGUGUAUAGCCUGUUUUUUUUUAAUCUUCUCACAUAUUAUUGGAUUUUCCAUUAUUCACUAUCAGUAUGAAUCAUAAAAGUAUUAUAUGCACUGUCCUUUCAUAAUACAAUAGCAUACUAAUUUAUUCACAAAGGAGUAUUACAUGUACGCCAAAACUUAGCACCCCAUCCUCAAUAUCAUUGUUUACAAAAUACAUUGUCCCAUCACAAAAUUCACCCUAAGUUUUUCUACCAGUUGGAUGUCUCCUCUAGAGAAUCAGUAGCCUCAGUGUACCAAAGUAUUUACUAUAGCAUAUGUGGUGGUGCAUCCCAUUCAGUGUGUCUAGCUCAUUGGUGGUGCAUUUUCAUUGUGUGAAUAUAAUGGAGAAGCUGAUGUCAAAGGCUUUAGUUAAAUUAAAACCAGCUACAAAAUCCAUCUCAUUCAUAACAGUCCCUGCAGAGUUAAGAGAGAAACAUUAAUACCCCUCUUCUCAAAUAUCCUUAUCUGUGAAGUGAGUGGGUCAGGCUAGGUAGGGUCUCAGUUCUUACCGCACUCAGAAUUGUUGAAGCUAUUUUACACUAUGGGGGCAAUUGGAACAAGGCCAGAACCCAUGAACCCAGAGUCCAUUUGUACCAUUAAUUGCCCUUCAAAGUUACAUCUGAUUCCACCUCCACGCUCAAUAUUUACUAAUCUGUUUUACCUUGUUGAGAAAGUACUACAGAUUGGAGUUCUGUUUCAGGAAGAGAUAGUGACAGAAAAAUGCAACGGCCUAGGACAAAAGAAAAUAAAAAUAAAGCUUCCCAGUGGAAGAAACAAAUUCUUGAUCUCAGUUGUAAACCCACAUCCCUCAACCUUGAUUUGGAAGAUAUCCAGGCAGACCCCUGCCUUAUUGUUUUAGGCCAUAGCCUCUCCCUCAGCCCUCCUUCUAUUCUUCUAGUCAUUUCUGGUUUGUUUUCUCCGUUGGAUAGGUGCCUUUAAGUCUUGUGUUUCUUGUUCCUCUUGGUUCAUUUUAAUUGUGAAAAUGUUUCUGCCACUUGACAAUGAGAACACACUUCCCAAAUGAGACACUGACAUGUUCAAAGCCCCCUGGAAAUGACCCCAUUUUUUUUUUUUACCUCAAAUCACUCAGGAUGCAAAAUUCCUUAUUUUAUUCAGCCAGACUCCCCAGUCUGCACACCUUUGAUAUGCUUAAUCUGACUAGUUUUCUUCCUGUGUGCCCCGAGUUACAGUAACUCCUGCCCUUCUUCAUUCUUUUCUCCCUUGCUCCCUUUCUCCCACUCUCCUUCUUCUCUUCCCUUCAUUUCCUCUCCCUCCUUCAUAUUUCUUCUCCUUUCUCUUUCUAACUACUUUCUCCUCCUCCCUUCUCCACUCCCCUUUUCUUCUCUUUUUUUUCUUGUUCUUUCUCUUUCAGUAUCAUGUGCCAAGCUCUAUGCCAGGUAUUGGAAAUACCAAUACAAAUUCAAGGGAUCAGUGAUUGACACUCAAUGGUCUAGUGUCUUCAUUCUGUCCUGCAAUGCCAAGCAGUUAGGCACCCACAGCUAACUUAGUUUGCUUUCAUUCCUAGGACCUACUUGACUGUUCUCUGUGUCCUGUGGUUUUUUGCUCUCUGCUUGUCUGACCUGUUUCAGUGAGGGUAGACCGGAAGCACUCCUCUCAGUAGGGCUUUCUGGUAUGUACACACCGGGACAAGACCACUGCUUCAUUGAUUCUUGAGCAAGGGGAACAAUGAAAGAAAGCCACUCUUUGUUGUUCAAGUGAUGUAGCAUUUUUGCCUUAGUUGUCUCUAAGGUGUCACAAAUUCACUUCCAUUAAACAGUCAAUGUGAUAACUGUCUGUGACGUGUUCUAUUAUCUUUUUUAGUCGUACUGAUGUUCCUUUCAGCUGGUCCUAUAGCCCCCUUCCUCAGGAAUGUCUCCCCAGUGAAAAGACAGAGCCUGCAGAGACUGCUAGCCUGAUGGACGCUCUUGCCAACUGUGGAGUUGAAACAAAGCAAGUGGCCACCUGAGGAGACCCUUCCUGCCCAGCAGCCACCCACAGGGGGCAGUUGCAGCCAAUAGUAGUCUUUGCAAGAAGCAGAGAAAACCCACAAUACUCAUGCGUAACAAACUUCCCCUUCCUUGUGUGUACUCCUCUGUGUGUGUUCGGAUCACCUGCCGUCCUUUCUGAUCUCAGUAUGGGUAUGCUUGUUGGUGACCAAAUUCAUUCAUGCAUGAGGACAGUGGUUGUCUGGGGGAGCGACUUUCCCCAACACAUAGUGAUUGCUCCUGAGAGUGAUCUAGAAAGUGAAAACACUUGGGAAAGCCAGCAAAGCAGUCACAGGCAAUGUUCAGAGACCCAUUCAGAGCACCACACAGAAACCCCACGUCAUGCCCCCAGACUCUGUGCAGCAAGCUUGGCUCUAUGACAUACAGCAGCUGCUGCUGGGGGUGGAACUCAAGGUAGGCAAAGGUGCAUGAGCUAUGUAAAAUGUAGUGAUAAACCGAGUCAGUAGACAACAAGAACAGAAACAACACAAAAGACAAUGUGCUUGGAGGAGGCCAAAUUGGUUUGCUUAAGGAAGAACGGUCUCCUUAAGAGAAAAUAAGAAAUAAACCUUGAAGGUUCUAAACAAACAAACAAAUAAAACAACCACAACAACAAAAUAAACAAAUAGCUAAAUGGGAAGGUAGAGGAAAAGAGUUCUUGAGGUGAGCACAAUGGUAAGCAAGGACAUGGCAGGGGAAAUCCACUCGGUGAGUUUUGCAGAUUACAAACACUCAUCUCAACUUGAUGUCACCACAAACUCUGCACCCCUCUCUGUGUGUCUAGUAGAGAUGGCGCACACACGUAUGUUCCCUCUCCCCCCCGCAGAAGUCACCUAAACCCAACUAGAACUAAAGUUCCAGUUCUCUGUCACUAUAAAGGUUACACCGGUGGUACCUGUGUAGAACUCGCGACUCUUCCAUUCAUGCUUGCUAGUUACCAAGUUUAUCCCAUAUAGGAAGUGUUUUGCAUAUGACAUCUCAUGACAACUAUGAAAACUACACAGGAUAAAACCCAUUUUGAUUAGGUUAAGUGCCUGGCAGAGGUGCUAUGUGCAGCAAUGCAUAUUCAAGGUUAUGGUCACAGAACUCAUGAGUUGAAGCCCCAAGUCAGACUUUUGUGGCCAGUUCCAACACUGUGUUACCUUCCCCACAGCCCUAAAACCUGUCUGUGAGAACAAACAGCUCUUCUGCUUUCCUAUCACCUCAGUCUUUCCCACUUUUGCAGCUGAAUAGGACCAGAAUGAUUAAAUGUAUUUUCCUGAGAGAAAAUUGAGAAUUUGGUGAAGCAGAGCCAGCCAACAGUUUACACAUUUCCUUUUGAUUUGGGUCUGACACAAGACUUCUGAUUUAGUUCUUCCCGAAAUCUCAAAGUUUUAAGAGCAGUAAGGGAAGGGCCUUAAGUUACCUGUUACAACAUCUUUUUGACAGAAAAUGUAAAUCUACAGCGUAUAUUCAGAGUGACUUACAAAACAAACAAACAAAGCAACAAACAACCACCCCAAAUGAACAACCAACCAACCAACCAACCAACCAACCAAACAAACAAACAAACAAACCAUCACAUAUUUGGAAGUGUCCAACAAGGACCAGAAACUAAGCCCUCAGUUAUCUUUCAACGGCUUUUAAAUUACUCUACCCUGUCCUAAAGUAAAAUAAACCUGUAUUUGAUUAAAACAAGUAAUGCUGCAUAGACUGAAUCUAGUACUUUUCUCCGUUCCUUCCUUCUUUGGCAUUUCAUGUUAAUGUUAAAUACAGCUAUAACUAGUGUAUUUAGGUCAAAAAGUUGUCAAUGCUCUGCCCCCCAAAAACACAGAAUAGCCAAAGUUGUAUGUAUUCUAUAACUUAAAUGAUGAAGUCAUGAAGUCAUUAGUUCACCUGUAUGGAUCCAGUCUUCUAUUGUACAGCUUUUUAACUAAUUCGACCAAUGGCAAACAUCUGCAAAUGCUAUCAAUGUUUAUCCAUGACUGUUUCAGAAGUACUUAAGUAUUAACAAAUACUACUAGUCACUUUGUAUUGUGAUCUUCAUUUGUCCAUGUGACUAAUUCAAGAAUACUUUGUCCAUAAAAGCUUAGAACUGAAAUUCCCAUUCUUAUUUCCAGCCACUUUGCAUUUGAAUGGUAUUUAGCAGUGAUUGAUAAAGUGAUCAUCUAGAUAACAUAGAUGUCUAAAUUAUGAUUUUUGUCUUGAAGGAGACAGUCAAGCUGUCUGCUUAAGGGACAGAUGUCUAUCUUUUUGAGAUACCUGAAUAUUUAACUGAUGUAACUUUCUGCUUAGCUGUUUGACAUUGUCAUAUGUAGUCCUGGUCAUGGGUCUGGUUGUCUUGUUUUUGUUUGUUUGUUUGCUUUGUUUUUUUUUCUUUCAAAAUGCUUCAUGGCUCUGUUUAUACUGUUUUCACUGAGUUCAUAAGUAAACAGGUUUGUUGUUAAAAAGUAGCCCAAGCACAAAAUGUGACUUUGUUGACAUUUUCCAAGACUUUCCUUGAUCCCUGACUCCCAAUAAAAGAAAUGUUGCAUUAACUGUGAA